GGCUCGGUAGCUCAGUUGGUAGAGCAUGGGAUUGAAGAUCCUAGUGUCGGCGGUUCGAUCCCGUCCCGAGCCACCA
rnacentral:tRNA from 1 species